GGCGUCCCCGUGCGGGGCGGGGCGGCACAGAGUCCCCGGAAGGAGGCUUGCUUGCUUGUUCCUGGACGGGCGGAGGCCCACGUGUCGCGCGACCUCCUCAGCUUUCCGCCUGGGGUCAGCUUCCGGUGGGGUUGCAUUAACCGCCCCCCCAACCCCUCAGCCCGAGUCGUCCCAGCGGCCGGCUCUGUGCAGCCACGUCAAGACCCACUGAUGUACUGUCCCCGUCGCUUCCCGUCUGUCCUCUCCCAGCGCUUCAGACCACGCGGUUGCCACGGCGGUGACAUGACCCAUAAUAGUCCCUGCCUCCUCCAGUAAAUGAAGGAAGGGACAGAGGUUUCCCACGGAGCAGGCAGGACACCUGCUCAGGCCCGGCUGACCGCACGCUUCCUGUGGGGACCCGGCUGGGCUCUCCAUUUCAGGGGUGCUGCAGUGGGCUGAAUAGCAUACCCCCAAAUUCAUGUCACCUGGAACCUCAGAAGAUGGUUUUAGUUGGAAAUAGGUCUUUGCAGAUGCAAUUAGUUAAGAUGGAAUGGGCCCUGAUUCAAUGACUGGGUCCUUGCAAGAAAAGACCCACAGACAGGACACAUGGGGAGCGGGCCACAUGGCAAUGGAGGCAGAGAGGGGAGGGACACCAAGGAUGGGCCACAACAGGGGCUGAGAGAGGCUGGGAGCAGAGAGAGCGUGUGCAAGCAGGGGAGAGGCAGAAAAUCACAAGGAGGCACCACGUUCACCUCGGAGCCGACGCGGGGCUCAACCCCACAACCCUGGGAUCAUGACCUCAGCUGAAACUAAGAGUCAGAGGCUCUGGACUCCUGGGUGACUCGGCUGAGGAACAGACUCUUGAUUUCCGCUCAG